rnacentral:rRNA from 1 species
UACGUAGGGGGCAAGCGUUGUCCGGAUUUAUUGGGCGUAAAGAGCGUGUAGGCGGCUGGGUAGGUCCGUUGUGAAAACUUGAGGCUCAACCUCGAGACGCCGAUGGAAACCCUCCAGCUAGAGUCCGGAAGAGGAGAGUGGAAUUCCUGGUGUAGCGGUGAAAUGCGCAGAUAUCAGGAGGAACACCGGUGGCGAAGGCGGAUCUCUGGGCCUUACCUGACGCUCAGGCGCGAAAGCUAGGGGAGCGAACAGG